CUGUAGCGAUCACAUGGCCCUGGAGGACUGAAAUGGAAGCGGGAGGGGACUGCCUGUCUCAAGAGGCAUUCCUUCCCGGACCGGGAUUGCCGGUCCAGGUAAGUCUGCAGAGACAGGCUCACUAAAUGCGGGGAGGCAUAGUUCGCCAUUACGGGGGUUAAAUAGCCAAUACUAGCCACUCCCAUCCCUCCAGGCUCCGGACUUUAU